GACGAACGCUGGCGGCGUGCUUAACACAUGCAAGUCGAACGGAAAGGCCCUGCUUUUGUGGGGUGCUCGAGUGGCGAACGGGUGAGUAACACGUGAGUAACCUGCCCUUGACUUUGGGAUAACUUCAGGAAACUGGGGCUAAUAUCGGAUAGGAGCUCCUGCUGCAUGGUGGGGGUUGGAAAGUUUCGGCGGUUGGGGAUGGACUCGCGGCUUAUCAGCUUGUUGGUGGGGUAGUGGCUUACCAAGGCUUUGACGGGUAGCCGGCCUGAGAGGGUGACCGGCCACAUUGGGACUGAGAUACGGCCCAGACUCCUACGGGAGGCAGCAGUGGGGAAUAUUGCACAAUGGGCGGAAGCCUGAUGCAGCAACGCCGCGUGCGGGAUGACAGCCUUCGGGUUGUAAACCGCUUUCGCCUGUGACGAAGCGUGAGUGACGGUAAUGGGUAAAGAAGCACCGGCUAACUACGUG
rnacentral:rRNA from 1 species